UUUAUUAUUUUUAUUUAUUUAUUUAUUAUUAGGAGAUUGCUAAUAGAGAGUCACAGCUUCAAGAAAUAGAAAAGAAUUUGUCCAAACUAGGAGCAGACGCUCAUCCAAGAAAUUUCCUGCCAUUACCAAAGUUCUGUCCCUGUCAGCCAUAUUUCUACUUGAACAUCAGUGAAGAGAUCCCUCCCUCCGAGAAAUGGAAGAUCAGGAGUUUGGUUGUUAUGGUUUUUGGUGAGUGUUCAUGCAGCUACUGAUGGGUGGGGCUCACAAUGAUAUUAAUGAGCCACACCCUAUUUAAUGAAUAUUAUUAUUAAUUUAUUAUUAUUGUUAUUAUUAUUAUUUAUUUUUAGUAUAAUACUCAUUAUCAAUACCUGGUGCCAUUGCUGUUGGUCAGGCUAAUGAUCCUACCAUCAGUUUCUCUCCCACUAACUCAAUAGUGACCAUUGUAUUGGGUAUACUGUGGCUCUUCAUGUUACCUAUUGGUGCUCUCUUCUGCUGGUUCAUGCCUGCAUAUUACGCUCACAGGAAGGACAGUUCCCUUGCCUUCAUGUGGUUCUUCUUCAUCAUGGUGAUCCAGUGUGCUGUCUGGGUCUUUUUUGCUCUAGGUCCUCCCAGUUUCUCAAUUGGUAUUAUUUCAGGUGCUAAUAUUAUCAAGGCCAAUAAACCAAUCGGCU